UUUGUAAUCUGGCUGUCUUCGAUAGUCCGAGUUGUAAUCUAUAGACGUGUUUUCCGUGCUGGACCGUAUCUAAGUCCCUUGGAACAGGGUAUCAAAGAGGGUGACAAUCCCGUGCUUGAUACGACCACCAGUGCUCUGUGAUACACGCUCUACGAGUCGAGUUGUUUGGGAAUGCAGCUCAAAAUGGGUGGUAAAUUCCAUCUAAAGCUAAAUAUUGGCGAGAGACCGAUAGCGAACAAGUACCGUGAGGGAAAGAUGAAAAGCACUUUGGAAAGAGAGUUAAACAGUACGUGAAAUUGUUGAAAGGGAAACGAUUGAAGUCAGUCGUGUUCUUUGGAUUCAGCUAGUUCUUCUAGUCUACUUCCUUUGAACGGGUCAACAUCAGUUUUGUCCGGUGGAUAAAGAUAGUAGGAAUGUAGCUCCCUCGGGAGUGUUAUAGACUAUUAUUGCAUGCACUGGGUGAGACUGAGGACUGCAGCUCGCCUUUUGGCCGGCCUUCGGGUACGUUCGAGCUUAGGAUGUUGACAUAAUAGG
rnacentral:rRNA from 1 species